rnacentral:rRNA from 1 species
UACGUAGGGUCCGAGCGUUGUCCGGAAUUAUUGGGCGUAAAGGGCUCGUAGGCGGUCCGUCACGUCGGGAGUGAAAACUCAGGGCUCAACCCUGAGCGUGCUUCCGAUACGGGCGGACUAGAGGUAUGCAGGGGAGAACGGAAUUCCUGGUGUAGCGGUGGAAUGCGCAGAUAUCAGGAGGAACACCGGUGGCGAAGGCGGUUCUCUGGGCAUUAACUGACGCUGAGGAGCGAAAGCAUGGGGAGCGAACAGG